rnacentral:rRNA from 1 species
CCUACGGGUGGCAGCAGUAGGGAAUAUUGGGCAAUGGUGGCAACACUGACCCAGCCAUGCCGCGUGCAGGAAGAAGGCGUUAUGCGUUGUAAACUGCUUUUGACAGGGAAGAAAUCGGGGGUGCGCCCCUAGUUGACGGUACCUGUAGAAUAAGCACCGGCUAACUCCGUGCCAGCAGCCGCGGUAAUACGGAGGGUGCAAGCGUUGUCCGGAUUUAUUGGGUUUAAAGGGUGCGUAGGCGGCCCUGUAAGUCUGUCGUGAAAUACCCCGGCUUA